rnacentral:rRNA from 1 species
UACAGAGGUCCCAAGCGUUGUUCGGAUUCACUGGGCGUAAAGGGCGCGUAGGUGGCCUGGUAAGUAGGGGGUGAAAUCUCGCGGCUCAACUGCGAGGCUGCCUCCUAAACUGUCAGGCUCGAGCAGAGUAGAGGCAGGUGGAAUUCCCGGUGUAGCGGUGGAAUGCGUAGAGAUCGGGAAGAACAUCGGUGGCGAAGGCGGCCUGCUGGGCUCUUGCUGACACUGAGGCGCGACAGCGUGGGGAGCGAACAGG